rnacentral:rRNA from 1 species
ACGCACGCUGGCGGCGUGCUUAACACAUGCAAGUCGAACGGAAAGGCCCUGCUUUUGUGGGGUGCUCGAGUGGCGAACGGGUGAGUAACACGUGAGUAACCUGCCCUUGACUUUGGGAUAACUUCAGGAAACUGGGGCUAAUACCGGAUAGGAGCUCCUGCUGCAUGGUGGGGGUUGGAAAGUUUCGGCGGUUGGGGAUGGACUCGCGGCUUAUCAGCUUGUUGGUGGGGUAGUGGCUUACCAAGGCUUUGACGGGUAGCCGGCCUGAGAGGGUGACCGGCCACAUUGGGACUGAGAUACGGCCCAGACUCCUACGGGAGGCAGCAGUGGGGAAUAUUGCACAAUGGGAGGAAGCCUGAUGCAGCAACGCCGCGUGCGGGAUGACGGCCUUCGGGUUGUAAACCGCUUUCGCCUGUGACGAAGCGUGAGUGACGGUAAUGGGUAAAGAAGCACCGGCUAACUACGUG